CUGAUGAAUCCCCGUUCAUUUAGCUCCUGCAGCCGCAUUCUUUACUUGCCGGAGGCUCUCUCUUUCUUUCUCUCUCGGUGGAUGAGUGCUGUUAUCUGUCUGGGGUCAAUCUGUUUUCAAAUUUGAGUAUGUAUGUGCUUAAGUACAAAGCAUGCUGCUAGAAACAGCCUCAGGACUUGCAAUUUCUCAUGCAAGAGGAGAGAAAAUCACUGUGCUAUUUCAUUACGAAUGGUGGAGGUAGUCCUGAUGCUGCGGGCUGCAGCUGCAGAUUCUCAAUUCUACGUACUUACAAGUUCAAUUUUGCCUGCAAUUGAAUGUACUUCUUCAGAUACCUCAAUUCUAUGUACUAACAACUUCAAUUUGGCCUGCAGGUUCUCAAUUCUAUGUAGCAACAAGUUCAUUUUUGCCUGCAAUUGAAUAUACUUCUUCAGAUACCUUAUUCAUUUCAGUAACCCUGUAUUUCAUUACGCAAAUCUGGUUGUUUUUAAAAAAAAUUUCAGUAACCCUGCAUUUCUCAUUCAGCCAGAAUUACGUGAUCAAGACUUUAGGCAACAUAGAAAAGCACAUACAUUACGUCCUUAUUUGUCACUGUACCAAAUUUUAUUGCUUCCUAACAUUUCUUUGCAGCCAUCGAAAGUACAGCUUGCAGUUCGCGGUGACUACAUUCUUAUCUGGAGUUCCAACUCUUGGCCCCUUUGAGAAAAUAUUCAAUGCAAUUGAACCAUGGAUGCCAAGUGAAGCCUUGUUUUCUAGAGAAAUCUCAGGACAAAUAUUCUGUCAUAUCUGAUUGCAUAGUUCUAUAUCAGCAAAGAUAUGGCAUGUAGAUUUUUUUGGAUGAUUGAAUAGCAAGACUGAGACCUUUCUUUUAGAACAUCCGGUUGGAUGGUGAAUUUCUUGGGUGGUUGUAUAAAACUUUAUUGUAGUUUAUUAGUGGAUUUUGUAGAAAAAAUAUUUUGAGAUGUGUAGGACUUUCUCUUUCUUUUU